rnacentral:rRNA from 1 species
AUUGAACGCUAGCGGAAGGCCUAACACAUGCAAGUCGAACGAGUGGCGGACGGGUGAGUAAUGUCUGGGAAACUGCCUGUUGGAGGGGGAUAACUACUGGAAACGGUAGCUAAUACCGCAUACCAUAAGAUGUGCCAAGAUGGGAUUCGCUAGUAGGUAGGGUAACGGCUAACCUAGGCGACGAUCCCGAGCUGGUCGGAGAGGAUGACCAGCCACACUUGAACUGCGCCACGGUCCAGACUCGUACGGUAGGGAGCAGUGGGGAAUAUUGUACAAUGGGCGCAAGCCUGAUGCAUCCGUGCCGCGUUGAUGAAGAAGGCCUUCGGGUUGUAAAGUACUUUCAGCGGGGAGGCGUUACCCGCAGAAGAAGCACCGGCUAACUCCGUGCCAGCAGCCGCGGUAAUAC